AUGGACCCUAGCUCGUGGGAUGAAUCGAAAAAACUUACACGAGAAGACAAUGGAGAUCUGACUAGGGAGUUCUCUGUGGAGGAGGUGAAGGAGGCUCUCUUUGCAAUGGACACCAAUAGAGCACCCGACCCAGAUAAUAUUCCUGCGGAGUUUUACCAACAUUGUUGGGAUAUUGUCAAAAAUGACAUUAUGAGGAUUUUUAGGCACUUACAUGAUGGGACGCUUGACGUGCAGCGUCUUAACUAUGGAGUGAUCACUCUCCUCCCUAAGGUGUCGGGCGCCGAGCGCAUUCAGCAGUUCCGGCCCAUCUGCCUCCUUAGAUGUCAAUAUAAGCUGAUUACUAAGACAAUGGAUCGGAGAGUCAAAAAGUAUGCUGAUAAACUGAUUAGCCUGUCACGGAAUGCAUUUGUGAAGGGUAGUAAUAUUAUGGAUGGGAUCAUGACUCUUCAUGAGCACCUGAACUACACCCACGUUAAGAAAAGAACCGGAGUGGUGCUAAAAUUGGACUUUGAGAAGGCAUACGAUAAAGUCAACUGGGAGUUCCUUCUGGAAUGCCAUAAGUUGAGAGGCUUCGAUGAAACUUGGUGCGGGUGGGUGAAACAAAUCCUGUACAAUGGUAUAGUUAGUAUUAAGCUAAAUAGUUCUGUAGGCCCAUACUUCCAGAGUGCGAAAGGGGUAAGUCAGGGUGACCCGCACUCUCCCUUUCUAUUCAAUCUGGCUGCAGACUGCUUAAAUAAAAUGAUAAAUAAAGCUCAGCAAAAUGUCCUGCUGACUGGGUUAGCAGCUGAUAUAAUCCCGAAUGGGGUGGCCGUUCUGCAAUAUGCAGACGACACGAUCAUUUGCCUGGAACAUGACAUGGAGAAAGCGAUGAAUCUUAAAAUCCUGUUAUACAUGUUUGAGCUGAUGUCGGGUCUGAAAGUGAAUUUUCAGAAAAGUGAAAUUCUUACCAUUGGGGGAGAUGAUGAGAUCGAUAAGGGGUAUGCUGAGCUUUUCAAUUGUGAGAUUGGACACUUUCCAAUCAAAUACCUGGGAAUGCCGGUGAGUUUCUCCUCUCUGAAAGACUCGGUGUGGGAAUUUAUUGUUGAAAAGUACUUGAAAAGUUUUGGGACCUGGAUUGGGAAUGCUGCUUCUAUAGGGGGCAGACUUACCUUGCUUACCUCGUUGUUAUCGCAAUUGUCUCUGUACCACAUGUCGAUGUGGCUCAUGAGCAAUACCUUCAUAGAAAAACUAGAUAAACAUCGUAGGAAGUUUUUCUGGCAAGGUUGCAAUAAGAAGAAUCGUUACUACUUGGUUAAAUGGAAGAGGGUAUGUAGAUCGAAAGAAAAAGGGGGCCUCGGGGUCAAAGACCUCAGGAAACAGAAUAUAAGUCUUAUGGUGAAGUGGUGGUGGAAGCUAGAAACCCAGAAAGGGGUGUGGCAAGAUAUGGUAAAAGCUAGAUACUUGUCUAGCACGUCUGUUGCUACAGUGACCCCUAGAUAUUCUGAUUCGCCUUGCUGA
rnacentral:rRNA from 1 species